rnacentral:rRNA from 1 species
UGGGGAAUUUUGGACAAUGGGCGAAAGCCUGAUCCAGCAAUGCCGCGUGUGUGAAGAAGGCCUUCGGGUUGUAAAGCACUUUUGUCCGGAAAGAAAUGGCUCUGGUUAAUACCUGGGGUCGAUGACGGUACCGUAAGAAUAAGGACCGGCUAACUACGUGCCAGCAGCCGCGGUAAUACGUAGGGUCCAAGCGUUAAUCGGAAUUACUGGGCGUAAAGCGUGCGCAGGCGGUUGUGCAAGACCGAUGUGAAUUCCCCGAGCUUAACUUGGGAAUUGCAUUGGUGACUGCACGGCUAGAGUGUGUCAGAGGGGGGUGGAAUUCCACGUGUAGCAGUGAAAAGCGUGGAGAUGUGGAGGACUACCGAGGGCGAAGGCGGCCCCCUGGGAUAACACUGACGCUCAUGCACGAAAGCGUGGGGAGCAAACAGG